rnacentral:rRNA from 1 species
AGUGAACGCUGGCGGUAGGCCUAACACAUGCAAGUCGAACGGCAGCACAGUAAGAGCUUGCUCUUACGGGUGGCGAGUGGCGGACGGGUGAGGAAUACAUCGGAAUCUACUUUUUCGUGGGGGAUAACGUAGGGAAACUUACGCUAAUACCGCAUACUACCUACGGGUGAAAGCAGGAGAUCUUCGGACCUUGCGCGAGUGAAUGAGCCGCUGUCGGAUUAGCUAGUUGGCGGGGUAAAGGCACACCAAGGCGACGAUCCGUAGCUGGUCUGAGAGGAUGAUCCGCCACACUGGAACUGAGACACGGUCCAGACUCCUACGGGCGGCAGCGGUGGGUAAUAUUGGACACUGGGCGGAAGCCUGCUCCAGCCAUACCGCGUGGGUGAAGAAGGCCUUCGGGUUGUAAAGCCCUUUUGUUGGGGAAGAAAAGCAGCAGGUUAAUCCCCCGCUGUUCUGACGGUACCCAAAGAAUAAGCACCGGCUAACUUCGUG